rnacentral:rRNA from 1 species
CUACGGGCGGCUCCAGUGGGGAAUAUUGCACAAUGGGCGCAAGCCUGAUGCAGCCAUGCCGCGUGUAUGAUGAAGGCCUUCGGGUUGUAAAGUACUUUCAGUGGUGAGGAAGGGGUAGAGUUUAAUACGCUUUAUCUUUGACGUUAGCCACAGAAGAAGCACCGGCUAACUCCGUGCCAGCAGCCGCGGUAAUACGGAGGGUGCGAGCGUUAAUCGGAAUUACUGGGCGUAAAGCGCAUGCAGGGGGAUGAUUAAGUCAGAUGUGAAAGCCCGGGGCUUAACCCCGGAACAGCAUUUGAAACUGGUCAUCUAGAGUACUGUAGAGGGGGGUAGAAUUUCAGGUGUAGCGGUGAAAUGCGUAGAGAUCUGAAGGAAUACCGGUGGCGAAGGCGGCCCCCUGGACAGGUACUGACACUCAGAUGCGAAAGCGUGGGGAGCAAACAGGAUUAGAUACCCGAGUAGUC